rnacentral:rRNA from 1 species
CCUACGGGAGGCUGCAGUGAGGAAUCUUCCGCAAUGGGCGAAAGCCUGACGGAGCGACGCCGCGUGGACGAUGAAGGCCGAAAGGUUGUAAAGUCCUUUUCUCUGUGAAGAAUAAGGGUGCGAGGAAAUGCGCGCCUGAUGACGUUAGCAGAGGAAUAAGCCCCGGCUAAUUACGUGCCAGCAGCCGCGGUAAUACGUAAGGGGCGAGCGUUGUUCGGAAUUAUUGGGUGUAAAGGGCGCGUAGGCGGUUUUACAAGUCCGGUGUAUAAGGCAACAGCUUAACUGUUGUUUUGCGCUGGAAACUGUGAGACUUGAGUUUAGGAGGGGGAGCUGGAAUUCCAGGUGUAGGGGUGAAAUCUGUAGAUAUCUGGAAGAACACCGGUGGCGAAGGCGAGCUCCUAGCCAUAGACUGACGCUGAGGCGCGAAAGCGUGGGGAGCGAACAGGAUUAGAUACCCGGGUAGUC